rnacentral:lncRNA from 1 species
CAGUGUUGCCAAAUUUCUUUUAAAGCAAUUUAAAGUAUAAUCGAGAAAAUCUCGACUAACGUUUUUUGGCGUUAUUUCGACAUUUAAAAUCAAUGUAAAUGCAUAAUAUGUAUGUAUAAAACACAUUCUAUUCGUUAUGCAACGAAUAUUUAAUUAAUUAUAUCAUUUUCGAUAUAGAAAAUAAUGACUCAAAAUCUUUGACAUUUGUUAUAAUAUAGGUUACGUAGUAUAAUAUAUAGUCUGUGUCAUUUCAAAACCAAAACAAACAUUUUGCUCAUAACUGGAUUAUAUCUUUAUUUGUCUAAAUACGAGAUUUCAAAGCUCCAAAUGGCUUUAAGCGGUCAAGUGGACUUUAAAGAAAGUUGUACCCCUAACCAACGGUAUUCUACUUGUCCUGUGUUUUAGUUUGUUUCCAAAACUAUCGAAAUGUCUCGCAACGCGCUGCCUUCGUUGAGUCAGCUGGAAGAGCUAGUAAGCUUUUUGAAAAGCAAACCAUGUUUGAUUAUGAUGGGCCAUGAUCGUACUGCAAAUGCGAACAGUCAUCAGGCACGAUCCGAAAACAACAGCCCCAAACAGUGACGUAGUGAGUGUAUGAAAAUAUUGGAGCAGUGGUGUAAGUACUGGAAGGACAAAAAGAAGCAGUUCAGAGGAAGUCCAGUUCUAUUGCAGCUGCGAGGCAACAUGAAGAAUUUGCCAGAACUCGGUGUAAUUGAGUUAAUAAUACAUUCCAUUAUGCGAGGAGAAUGUUUUGGAAUCUGAAUUUAGAUAAAUAAAUCCAUGUUCAUCAUAAAAUACAAAAUAAUAAAAAGACAUGUUGAAUUAAAA